AGAGGUUGCUUUGAGAGAUCUUACACCCUCAGAUUAUGCAAAGAAGAAGAAUGUGAACACAUCGGCGCUGAUCCAGUCUGAGAUUUGUGGUAUUAUUGUUGGUGCUGAGAUUACUCCAUCUCCGUAACUAUGUCAGCAGAUAAAACAGAUUGAAUGCCAACACCGAGUCUCAUUUAUUUAUGUUAAUUCGGAGGACAUUAAGGAGAAGGGAUACCCCUAUUGUUAUGCAGAAGAAGAUUUUGAAGUUCAUCCGUGAAGCAGAUCCCAGGACACAAAUCGCAGGUUACCUGUAUGGUGUAAGUCCCCCUGACUACCUUCGAGUGAAAGAGAUUCUCUGUGUUUGGUAUGCAUCAGCAUUUCACUCUCCCAUUGGCUAUUCCAGCGCAUGAUUUCUUGCAUGACCUGGAGCCGCUUAGGUGGAUGCUUUCUCAGAUGUCUCCACAGGAUCUGACUGGCCAUGCUCGAAAGCUUGAGAGUAACAAGCUGUGAAAUGGAGUGAAGUGUAUCAUCUUUACCCCUUCAGGGUACAAGUGAGGUCAUGCCAACAAGGAUUGCAGAAGCAAUCCUCAUGGUUACCUUCCAACUUUCUAUGAGAAGGUUCAGAUGCUCCUCAGCGAUCGCUUCCUUGGAUUUUACGUGGUUCCUGACAAAGGUCAUGGAGUUGCAACUUCCAGGGAGUGGAGCAUCGUACUAAUCUCUAGUAUGGAAUAAACACCUGUUGAGGAUCACAGGCCAACUCAUUUUCUUGAGUGCAGUAAGCUGAAGAGGGAGACAUUUUGGCUGAGGAUGAUUGAGAGGACAAGUUUACCUUGAAACAUCAGCUAAAACACUCUUUGAAGCCCUUUUAUUGUAGAAUCCAGAUCUUCUAUGCUCCUGUAAUUGGAAUAUUUGUUGAUUCCAGUUCAAUUUAUGCCUUCUUCUUCUAGAUUACUAAA